rnacentral:lncRNA from 1 species
CUGAUGCAAUCCUGUCAAGACAGUGAAAUGCUCUGAGUCUCCUCCCGCCGUCCUCACCUGAGUUUUAGCUCCAUCAUACAUGUUCUUAAUUACUCUGAUAUAUGUCACCGGGACUCCACUCACCUCCAAGCAUCUCCAAAGCACCUCUCUGGGGACUUUGUCGUAUGCCUUCUCCAAGUUGAUAAACACCAUCUGCAGGUCCUUCUUCCUUUC